rnacentral:rRNA from 1 species
AUUCCAGCUCCAAUAGCGUAUGUUAAAGUUGUUGCGGCUAAAAAGCUCGUAGUUGGAUUUCUGUUGAGGAUGUCCGGUCCGCUCUAUGAGCGUGCAUCUGGUUCAGCCUCGGCAUCCGCUCUGCAUGCGUGUCUGCGCUUGAUUGCGUGGCGCGAAGGUAGGGCCUUUUACUUUGAGGAAAUUAGAGUGUUCACGGCAGGCAGUUGCCUUGAAUAUAUUAGCAUGGAAUAAUAACAUAGGAUCUUGGUUCUAUUUUGUUGGUUUCUAGAGCUUAGAUAAUGAUUAAUAGGGACAAUUGGGGGCGUUCGUAUUGCGGUGUCAGAGGUGGAAUUCUUGGAUUACUGCACGACGAACUACUGCGAAAGCAUUUGCCAAGGAUGUUUUCAUCA